ensembl:lncRNA
GUACCGGGUCAGUACCGGGUACAGUACCGGGUCAGUACCGGGUACAGUACCGGGUCAGUACCGGGUUCAGUACCGGGUUCAGUACCGGGUACAGUACCGGGUCAGUACCGGGUCAGUACCGGGUACAGUACCGGGUCAGUACCGGGUAUAGUACCGGGUCAGUACCGGGUCAAACCCAGUGGCGGUCAGUGCCAUUACAGAUGAGGGAGGACAAUUUGUUUUCCUUAUUUCUAUUGCAGCAUAUUGGAUGACUGCUAAUGUUAUAGUAGUAGCACUUAUAGACAACUUGUUUAAAACUACAGCCUAGGACCCAAUACGAUUUACCAGUCAUCCAUUACGCUAAUGUUUCUGAGUCUUUAUAUUCAGGUGAUUUCAAUUUUUUUUUAACCUUUAUUUAACUAGGCAACUCAGUUAAGAACAAAUUCUUAUUUUCAAUGACGGCCUAAGGAACAGUGGGUUAAGUGCCUAUUCAGGGGCUGGCAUUAGUCUGAUCCUGGUCUUGAUUGUUACCAGUCACCAGUCACCUUGCCCUGAUUAAAAGCAGUGCUUCGCACUUUCAGUUUCACGCGAAUGCUGCCAUCAAUCCACGGUUUCUGGUUAGGGAAUGUUUUAAUCGUUGCUAUGGGAACGACAUCGUCAACGCACGUUCUAAUGAACUCGCACACCGAAUCAGCGUAUUCGUCAAUAUUGUUAUCUGACGCAAUACGAAACAUAUCCCAGUCCACGUGAUGGAAGCAGUCUUGGAGUGUGGAGUCAGCUUGGUCGGACCAGCGUUGGACAGACCUCAGCGUGGGAGCCUCUUGUUUUAGUUUCUGUCUGUAGGCAGGGAUCAAUUUUGAUUUGAUUUGAUUUGAUUGCCUGUGGUUAGGAUUAGCCAGCUGGUGUCCUGAAGACUGGCUGAGAGGACUAAAGCAAUGUUUUGACAAGCAAGGGACACAUCCAUCUUCAGAUAUGAAGACCAGUGACGAAGGCCCACAUUACACUUGCUACUUCAUGUUCCCCCUGCUAUAAUUUACAGAGCUCUAUACAUUUAGAUUGUGACAUAGUUUACUAUCUGUGUUAUCUAUGCAACUGUAUUAUAUUUAUAAUCUCACACUGAGCCUUACAACUGUAGUAUAUUUAUAAUCUCACACUGAGACUUACAACUGUAUUAUAUUUGUAAUCUCACAUUGGGCCUUACAACUGGAUUAUAUUUAUAAUCUCACAUUGAGCCUUGCAACUGGAUUCUAUAAUUUCUGUCAUUGUUUACCGUAUUCAAAGUAUUAAUUUCCCAGUGUCUUCUUUAAAAUGUUAGAAUAUUGCCUGAAAAUUGGCAACAACCAAUAUUUACACUAUAAACCAUUGGUAUUUCCAAAAACCAUUUGAUUGUAUGAGAGACAGUUUGACAAAACAUGCAUUUUACAUUUUGAUACUGCUUUUUACAGUACAUGCACUGACACACCAACAAAGACUCUUUUAAAAACACCAGAUAUCAGUUUAGGUGCAAAAAUGUUCAUGGUUUCACCACACAAUGUGCUUUGAGUUUUUUUAUUUGAACAGUGUAGGAGAGCAGAGCAAGGAGGAGGGCAGAUCUGCAAACAAAGUAGACAAGACUCCAAUAUCUUCCCUUUGCAAUUCUUUAUACUCUUUGUUUUGAAGCAGCAGGGAGGAAUAAACUUGACACAGAGGUCUUUUAGUCUAAGCCCUCUUCAGUGUAUAAUAAAAGGAUAGGAAACAUAGAGGAGAAGGGGACUCAGGUCUGGCAGGUAGGAGGACUCAGGUCUAGCAGGUAGGAAGACUCAGGUCUAGCAGGUAGGCGGACUCAGGUCUGGCAGGUAGGAAGACUCAGGUCUAGCAGGUAGGAGGACUCAGGUCUAGCAGGUAGGAAGACUCAGGUCUAGCAGGUAGGAGGACUCAGGUCUGGCAGGUAGGAGGACUCAGGUCUAGCAGGUAGGAAGACUCAAGUCUAGCAGGUAGGAGGACUCAGGUCUAGCAGGUAGGAGGACUCAGGUCUAGCAGGUAGGAGGACUCAG